rnacentral:misc_RNA from 1 species
UUCUUCAGAUGAUGAUCCCAAGCCUUCUGGCGUUCUGUUCAUCAAAUUUCAAAAGCGUUAAAAAACAUUCGAAAGUAUUUAAGAAACAUAUCUUUUGUUUUUUUUUAUCUGUCCCGAGGAAGGUUUUUACCAAUUCAUUCCUGAGGGCUUGUAGCUCAGUUGGUU